rnacentral:RNase_P_RNA from 1 species
CCGGGGCCAGAUCGUCGCUCCGGGGUUCUUUGUAUCCCAAGGCGCGGUUAAUUGCCGCGCCCGAUAAGAUUAAACUCCCGGAGAGGAAAGUCCGGACACCAUCGGGCAGGAUGCCGUGCGAGCUUCACCGCAAGCACGGGCGGUCUGCGUUAAGGCAGGUCGACGGAUAGUGUCACAGAGAAUAAACCGCCCCGGACUUCGGUUCGAGGUAAGGGUGAAAAGGUGGGGUAAGAGCCCACCGCGCCGAUUGUGAAGUCGGUGGCAGGAUAAACCCCUUCCGGUGCAAGGCAAAAUAGGCGACUGGCCGGCCCGGCCUUAAGUCGCGGGUAUGUCGCACCCCGCCUACGCUCCGCUUUGGCGGAGCGACGGCGAGGCAGGCUCUCCUUGGAGGGCUUGAGAUAAAUGACGGUCGAAGUCCCGCAUUCGCGGGAUGGAACAAAAUCCGGCUUAUCGGUCCCGGGACC